GUGCAGUGUGUGUGUGUGUGUGUGUGUGUGUGUGAGGGCGGUGCAGUGUGUAUGGGGGGCAGUGUGUAUGGGACACACACACACACACACACACACACUCUGCACCU